UGAGCAAUCUGCCCUGGACUCUGGGAUAAGCGUUGGAAACGACGUCUAAUACCGGAUACGAGACGCGAAGGCAUCUUCAGCGUCUGGAAAGAACUUCGGUCCAAGAUGAGCUCGCGGCCUAUCAGGUAGUUGGUGAGGUAACGGCCCACCAAGCCUACGACGGGUAGCCGGCUGAGAGGGUGACCGGCCACACUGGGACUGAGACACGGCCCAGACUCCUACGGGNGCAGCAG
rnacentral:rRNA from 1 species